GGACAUUCUUGAAGACUGGGCAGCCAUCAGGAAGGCAAAAGGAGCAUUGGCAAGAAGAAGGCAGGAAAGUGGAUGCCAGUCAGAGAAGAGUCCCUAUAGCGCAC